UAAUCUCAAAUUUAGAUGGCAAGCAUUAGCAAAAAUUAAUCUCUUCUUUUUUUUAAUAAUAAUAAAAAUAAAAAUUUUCAUAUGGUAUCUGGCACCCACCCAAUUUGCAUGCAAGUGUCUUCAGUCUUUUGGCGCUAAAACACAUUCUGAUCAUCAAGAGAACAUAAUACUAUACUAUCAUUUCAUUCAAGUGUUAAUCCAUUUCAAUAUCACAAAUUGAGGUGUAAUGCAAAAUUUCUUUCACUGCAGUUUAUCUUGGGUAGAGCAGGCUGCUGAGAAACUUGUUCCAGGCACACAUGCAUGGACAUCAUCACAUCCACACAAGAGCUUCCCAUUGAGUGUGUCCACAGCUUGGAAUGAUCCUCCUCCUUGACUCCUCUUGUAAUAAUUGACAGCAACAAAAUUUGCCCAUCUGUUGCCAGCAGCAUCAUAACAAGUAUGAAGCAUGUCUAUGAGUUCCCUAGAGUUAUCUAUGCAUGUGAGUUCCUUCAUAGGAAUAGUCCUGAAGUAAUUUACUAACACCAAUGAUUUACUCUUGUCAUUGAGUGAAGGCGAUUCUGCUCUAUUAGGACAACUCCCUGCGUGCAUACCACCAUCCCCAUACUGAUUUUCAACCAUGUAAUUCCACUGGUAGGCAAUUCCUUCAAUUUUUUCUUUGGAUUUAAUUGAUGUGAAUACAAGUAGCCUCUGGUUAUUUUUUAUCAUGUCCCUGACUAGAGGCCAAUCCUGCCCAUUUUUGGGCAUGUUCCUUACUGGAAACCAGUAUUUCAUCAAUCCAGCAUCAGUGAACACCUUUGUUAAUCCUUUAGGAGCUUGAACAUAAUCUUCCAAGAUUAUUGUGACAAUUUCUGAUGGAUUUGCUGAUAAGAAAGCUUCAAUUUCCUUCAGGGUGUCGAUAGCAGGCCCAAAUGCAGUAUAGUCAUAACAGUGUCCUUUAAAUGAAUGACACAGCCAUACAUCUCCACGAAAAUCAUAGGUAUCCAGCAUCAAGGCACGAACUCCAUUCUAAGAAUAAAUGAUAAAAGAAAAAUUAAUUAAUAAUGAACGUGUAGGAAUGCAUAAGAAAAAGGAAUAGAAAACUUACAUUUAGCUGUUGAGUGACAGUAUCUUCUUGAUUAGUAACAGUUAAUCUAGGGACUCCAGUGUGAGAUGGAUAUCCAUCAAUUGCAUAGGCAUUGUGGGUUGUCAAAAAUGCAUAUUUGUUGAAUGGCAGAGAAUUAUUCAGAAGCUUGAAUUGGUCUGUGGCAGUCGAUCUCACACAUUUAUAGCUUGAAAAUCCUUCAACGCAGUAGAAACAAUAGAGCCCAGAUUCACAAUCUUGGUCCGAUGAGCAUUUCUCCAACAGCUAAAUCAUUCAAACUACACACAAAUCAAAACAAAAACCUGCAAGAAUAUGCAUGUUCCUUAACCUGAAAAAGAAGAAGAAGAGGAAAAUAAAAUCUCGACACAAACCCCGCACUGUCCAUGGGUGCAAGCAGAAGCUGUAGCUGUGGCAAGACUGCAGGUAAGCACUGAAGCUGUAAUAAAAAUAAAGCUUUCAGAAAGACCCAUUAAGGGAAAGAUUGAAGGGAAUGGCAAAAAGGGCAGGGAUCGAUGUGUGAUGUAGAAUCGAUAGGUUUUGGCAAAGAUAAGGAAAGUCCAGGAGAAUAUGCUAAACUAAAAUGCCAGAAAAUUAUUGAAAAUUGGUUGGGGCGUCCAAUCAGCGAGACGGAAACUGGCGUAGAGAGGUGCCAUGAAAAUGAAAGCAUGAAUUGUUGGGAGAAAGCUUGUCAUUAAAGAUUUGAUUAUUUUAUUUAUUUAUUUUGAUAAAGAGAUUUGAUUAUUUUAUUUGUAGUUGGGACUUGGUAGAUGGCUAAUUAUUAUGUAAAAUUUUAUUUCAUAUAAUAUAUCUAUUUAUGUUGUGGUUUUAGUAUUAAAGUAUGUGAUUAAUUAC
rnacentral:misc_RNA from 1 species